GAGAGCCGGAUACAUCGAGAGGUGUACGUCCGGUUCAGGGGCGAGCGCCCGGAAACUUGCCAUAGCAAUAUGGUAAGGCGCUGGACGCUUAGCCUAC
rnacentral:ncRNA from 1 species